GGGGCUGAUUCUGGAUUCGACGGGAUUUGCGAAACCCAAGGUGCAUGCCGAGGGGCGGUUGGCCUCGUAAAAAACCGCAAAAAAUAGUCGCAAACGACGAAAACUACGCUUUAGCAGCUUAAUAACCUGCUUAGAGCCCUCUCUCCCUAGCCUCCGCUCUUAGGACGGGGAUCAAGAGAGGUCAAACCCAAAAGAGAUCGCGUGGAAGCCCUGCCUGGGGUUGAAGCGUUAAAACUUAAUCAGGCUAGUUUGUUAGUGGCGUGUCCGUCCGCAGCUGGCAAGCGAAUGUAAAGACUGACUAAGCAUGUAGUACCGAGGAUGUAGGAAUUUCGGACGCGGGUUCAACUCCCGCCAGCUCCACCA
rnacentral:tmRNA from 1 species